GCUUGUAGGCUUUUAAACUGUUAGGUUGGCAGGAGCUGGGGCAAGGAUGGGAGCUCACCCCAUCACGUGGAGCUCAGAUCUCGAACCUGGUCUGCUGGCUGAGCCACUGCGUCACCCUCUCAGUUGUACAAUAUAUAUUAUACAACGUAGGUAGGAGAUGGCUAGGAAAAAUGGCACACGUACUCUCAAAUGCGUCAAAAGAAAGAUUGCAAAAUGGUCAACAGUCUUCAAGGUCAUCAAAUUGUAGCAUGAGAAAGCAUGGGUCAUUUAAACAAGUUCUCAAGACGAUAGGUGGCAAAGCAAAUACCAGUUUUUCCAGAAUCCUAUUAAAAGAAGAAUAGCAG